rnacentral:rRNA from 1 species
GAAAGGCGUAGUCGAUGGAAAACAGGUUAAUAUUCCUGUACCACCUUUUUUUAGUGAUGGGGUGACGGAGUAGGAUAGAUCGGCCGAGUGUUGGAUUACUCGGUUUAAGCAUGUAGGAGUAAAGGAUUGGCAAAUCCGUCCUUUUUUAACUCCAAGGUGUUAAUACGAGAGGCCUAGCCUCAUAAAGUGAUUGAUUCCACACUUCCAAGAAAAACCUCUAAAUGUUGAUGAAAAGGUGCUCGUACUGUAAACGGACACACGUACGCGGGUAGAGUAUACCAAGGUGUUUGAGAUAAUUAUGGUCAAGGAACUCGGCAAACUAGCUCCGUAACUUCGGAAUAAGGAGUGCCUAUAUUAGGUGAAAGCUCUUGCAGCUCGAGCUGAAAUAGGUGGCACUGAACUGGUGGAAGCGACUGUUUACCAAAAACACAGGCCUGUGCUAACCCGCAAGGGGAUGUAUACGGGCUGACGCCUGCCCGGUGCUGGACGGUUAAGGGGAUGGGUUAUCCUUCGGGAGAAGCUUAGAACCGAAGCCCCAGUAAACGGCGGCCGUAACUAUAACGGUCCUAAGGUAGCGAAAUUCCUUGUCGUCUAAUUAGCGACCCGCAUGAAUGGCGUAACGACUUCUAUGCUGUCUCGACCAUAAUCUCAGCGAAAUUGUAGUGCUGGUGAAGAUGCCAGCUUCCCGUUGUGGGACGGAAAGACCCCGUGCACCUUUACUAUAACCUAGCACUGGAUUUUGAUACUAAAUGCGUAGGAUAGGUGGGAGACUAUGAAGAUUUGGUUUUGGCUGAAUCUGAGUCGUUGGUGAAAUACCACCCUUUUAAUAUUAGGAUUCUAACUGUAAUCCGUUAUCCGGAUUAAGGACACUGUUAGGCGGGUAGUUUGACUGGGGCGGUUGACUCCUAAAGAGUAACGGAGUCGCUCAAAGGUUCUCUCAGCCUGAUUGGAAACCAGGCGUCGAGUGUAAUGGCACAAGAGAGCUUGACUGUGAGAUCGACAGAUCGAGCAGGUACGAAAGUAGGACAUAGUGACCCGGUGGCUUCCAUGUGGGAGGGCCAUCGAUCAUCGGAUAAAAGGUACGCCGGGGAUAACAGAUUAAUCGCGCCCAAGAGUUCACAUCGACGGCGCGGAUUGAUACCUCGAUGUCGGCUCAUCGCAUCCUGGGGCUGAAGAAGGUCCCAAGGGUUUAGCUGUUCGCUAAUUAAAGCGGUACGCGAGCUGGGUUCAGAACGUCGUGAGACAGUUCGGUCCCUAUCUACAACGGGCGAAGGAGAAUUGAGAGGAGUUGCUCAUAGUACGAGAGGACCUGAGUGAACAAACCUCUAGUGUACCAGUUGUAGUGCCAACUGCAUUGCUGGGUAGCUACGUUUGGAAAGGAUAACCGCUGAAAGCAUCUUAAGUGGGA